GCACUGGGGGUGCCUAUUAUGGCUGAGAUGAGAGCAACUGCUCCGAUCCCUUAUAACCCGAUCAAGAUAAUGCUUGCGUGGGGAAGUGUAGUCA
rnacentral:ncRNA from 1 species